rnacentral:rRNA from 1 species
GAAUUAUUCACCCUUGUCUUUUGCGUACUUCUUGUUUCCUUGGUGGGUUCGCCCACCACUAGGACAAACAUAAACCUUUUGUAAUUGCAAUCAGCGUCAGUAACAAAUUAAUAAUUACAACUUUCAACAACGGAUCUCUUGGUUCUGGCAUCGAUGAAGAACGCAGCGAAAUGCGAUAAGUAGUGUGAAUUGCAGAAUUCAGUGAAUCAUCGAAUCUUUGAACGCACAUUGCGCCCUUUGGUAUUCCAAAGGGCAUGCCUGUUCGAGCGUCAUUUGUACCCUCAAGCUUUGCUUGGUGUUGGGCGUCUUGUCUCUAGCUUUGCUGGAGACUCGCCUUAAAGUAAUUGGCAGCCGGCCUACUGGUUUCGGAGCGCAGCACAAGUCGCACUCUCUAUCAGCAAAGGUCUAGCAUCCAUUAAGCCUUUUUUCAACUUUUGACCUCGGAUCAGGUAGGGAUACCCGCUGAACUUAAGCAUAUCAAUAAGCGGAGGAAAAGAAACCAACAGGGAUUGCCCUAGUAACGGCGAGUGAAGCGGCAACAGCUCAAAUUUGAAAUCUGGCUCUUUUAGAGUCCGAGUUGUAAUUUGCAGAGGGCGCUUUGGCUUUGGCAGCGGUCCAAGUUCCUUGGAACAGGACGUCACAGAGGGUGAGAAUCCCGUACGUGGUCGCUGGCUAUUGCCGUGUAAAGCCCCUUCGACGAGUCGAGUUGUUUGGGAAUGCAGCUCUAAAUGGGAGGUACAUUUCUUCUAAAGCUAAAUAUUGGCCAGAGACCGAUAGCGCACAAGUAGAGUGAUCGAAAGAUGAAAAGCACUUUGGAAAGAGAGUCAAACAGCACGUG